GAUGAACGCUGGCGGCGUGCCUAAUACAUGCAAGUCGAGCGAACGGACGAGAAGCUUGCUUUUCUGAUGUUAGCGGCGGACGGGUGUGUAACACGUGGAUAACCUACCUAUCAGACUGAGAUAACUUCGGGACACCGGCGCUAAUACCGGAUAAUAUUUUGAUCCGCAUGGUUCAAAAGUGAAAGACGGUCUUGCUGUCACUUCUCGCUGGAUCCGCGCUGCAUUAGCUGGUUGGUAAGGUCACGGCUUACCAAGGCAACGAUGCAUAGCCGAGCUGAGAGGGGGAUAGGCCACACUGGAAGUGAGACACGGUCCAGACUCCUACGGGAGGCAGCAGUAGGGAAUCUGCCGCAAUGGGCGAGAGCAUGACGGAGCAACGCCGCGUGAGUGAUGAAGGUCUUCGGAUCGGAAAACUCUGUUACUAGGGAAGAACAGAUGUGUAAGUAACUGUGCACAUCUUGACGGUACCUAAUCAGAAAGCCACGGCUAACUACGUG
rnacentral:rRNA from 1 species